CUUGAGCUAUGUCCGGUGUCGAACUUUGCCGUAUGGAGCUGGCGAGACUUGCCGAAAGAAUGUACGGUGGACACGUAAAAAAAAAAAUAAUACCAACUUUGAACCCCUUCAAUUCCCAGAAGGUCCUAACCCCCAAAAAAUCAUUUCAGUGGGUCCUGCUCUGAUUCAUUACCUUUCACUUGAGCUAUGUCCGGUGUCGAACUUUGCCGUAUGGAGCUGGCGAGACUUGCCGAAAGAAUGUACGGUGGACACGUAAAAAAAAAAUAAUACCAACUUUGAACCCCUUCAAUUCCCAGAAGGUCCUAACCCCCAAAAAAUCAUUUCAGUGGGUCCUGCUCUGAUUCAUUACCUUUCAUUUGAGCAAUGUCUGGUGUCGAACUUUGCCGUACGGAGCUGGCGAGACUUGCCGAAAGAAUGUACGGUGGACACGUAAAAAAAAAAUAAUACCAACUUUGAACCCCUUCAAUUCCCAGAAGGUCCUAACCCCCAAAAAAUCAUUUCAGUGGGUCCUGCUCUGAUUCAUUACCUUUCAUUUGAGCAAUGUCCGGUGUCGAACUUUGCCGUACGGAGCUGGCGAGACUUGCCGAAAGAAUGUACGGUGGACACGUAAAAAAAAAAAUAAUACCAACUUUGAACCCCUUCAAUUCCCAGAAGGUCCUAACCCCCAAAAAAUCAUUUCAGUAGGUCCUGCUCUGAUUCAUUACCUUUCAUUUGAGCUAUGUCCGGUGUCGAACUUUGCCGUUCGGAGCUGGCGAGACUUGCCGAAAGAAUGUACGGUGGACACGUAAAAAAAAAAAUAAUACCAACUUUGAACCCCUUCAAUUCCCAGAAGGUCCUAACCCCCAAAAAAUCAUUUCAGUGGGUCCUGCUCUGAUUCAUUACCUUUCAUUUGAGCUAUGUCCGGUGUCGAACUUUGCCGUACGGAGCUGGCGAGACUUGCCGAAAGAAUGUACGGUGGACACGUAAAAAAAAAAAUAAUACCAACUUUGAACCCCUUCAAUUCCCAGAAGGUCCUAACCCCCAAAAAAUCAUUUCAGUGGGUCCUGCUCUGAUUCAUUACCUUUCAUUUGAGCAAUGUCUGGUGUCGAACUUUGCCGUACGGAGCUGGCGAGACUUGCCGAAAGAAUGUACGGUGGACACGUAAAAAAAAAAUAAUACCAACUUUGAACCCCUUCAAUUCCCAGAAGGUCCUAACCCCCAAAAAAUCAUUUCAGUGGGUCCUGCUCUGAUUCAUUACCUUUCAUUUGAGCAAUGUCCGGUGUCGAACUUUGCCGUACGGAGCUGGCGAGACUUGCCGAAAGAAUGUACGGUGGAC